rnacentral:lncRNA from 10 species
CGGGAAGUCUGUUCCUUGCAGACCCCUGACCACGCGAUGAAUGAAUAAAGUACACUGACACACAGAUAUUCUGCUCUGCCAGUCCAGCUGAGGGUCCAAGCCCCUUACAGGCUCCCUGCUGAGCCCUGUAAACAGUUGCGACUCGGCAGGGAGCCUGUAAGCACCUGGGACCCUCAGAAUAUCUGUGUGUCAGCGUACUUUAUUCACCGGUCAUUGGGUCAGGGGUCUGCAAGGGACAGACUCCCCACAGCUGGUGACCCCUCGAGAGGAGCCCUGCCCCCAGCUGGUGCCCCAUGUGAGGCGCUGUGUGAGGAACUGUGUGAGGAAUGCUGUGAAGGAAACGCGACGAACCGCCCGAAAACGAAGACAGAACAGCAUGUGGAGACUCACACAGUGAAAUUUUCCUCCAAGAAGUACUGCAUGAACAUACCAGGAAAACCAAAAGAAUUCACAGGACCUUUGAAAGAAGUGGCUUGCCGCUGCAAACUCCAUGAGACAGCUGAAAAACUGGCAAAGCGGCUGAGAUCUUUGAACUCCCUUUGAACUUUGAGAAUGGUGACUGGAAGAUGACAAUUCAUGUUGUUUUCAGGAAAGCUAUAAAUUGAAUCAAGUUGGACACCGGAAUUUUGACCACUUUCCACCUUUCUAUCGUGGUCAGGUUUCUUCAUGAGAAGAGGAGAUUCGGUCACAGGCAUGUACAGAAGAAGACUGUGUGAAGACACAGAAGAAGUUAUCUACAAACCAACGAGAGAGGCUUCAGAAGAAACCAACAUUGUUGACACCCUGAUCUUGGAUUUCUAGACUCAGGAAUUAUGAGAAAAUAAAUUUUUAUUGUUUAAGCCACC